GCCCAGACUCCUACGGGAGGCAGCAGUGGGGAAUAUUGCACAAUGGGGGAAACCCUGAUGCAGCGACGCCGCGUGAGCGAUGAAGUAUUUCGGUAUGUAAAGCUCUAUCAGCAGGGAAGAAGAUGACGGUACCUGACUAAGAAGCCCCGGCUAACUACGUGCCAGCAGCCGCGGUAAUACGUAGGGGGCAAGCGUUAUCCGGAUUUACUGGGUGUAAAGGGGGCGCAGACGGCAGCGCAAGCCAGGAGUGAAAGCCCGGGGCCCAACCCCGGGACUGCUCUUGGAACUGCGCGGCUGGAGUGCAGGAGGGGCAGGCGGAAUUCCUGGUGUAGCGGUGAAAUGCGUAGAUAUCAGGAGGAACACCGGCGGCGAAGGCGGCCUGCUGGACCGUGACUGACGUUGAGGCUCGAGAGCGUGGGGAGCAAACAGGAUUAGAUACCCCUGUA
rnacentral:rRNA from 1 species